GACGAACGCUGGCGGCGUGCCUAAUACAUGCAAGUCGAGCGAGUCGGCCUUGAAGAUCGUACUGCUUGCACCCCGUGAGACAAGAUACAGGCUCGCGGCUAACCUGCCUGUAACACUUGGGUAACUUGGCCAAGCCAUCGGUAUAACACCUGAAUACAGUGACCCAUACGGUUCAACAGCAAAUGAUGCCUUUCCACUGUCUAAAAGAUGGUUCUGCUCUCACUUAUGGAUGGACCAGCGUCGCAUUAGCUAGUUGGUAGGGUAACGGCCUACCAAGGCGAUGAUGCGUAGCCGAGCUGAGAGGCUGAUCGGCCACAUUGGGACUGAGACACGGCCCAGACUCCUACGGGAGGCAGCAGUAGGGAAUCUUCCGCAAUGGGCGCAAGUCUGAUGGAGCAACGCCGCGUGAGUGAAGAAGGGUUUCGGAUCGUAAAGCUCUGUUAUUAGUGAAGAAGGACAGGGGAAGUAACUAAGCAUGGUUUGACGGUAACCAAUUAGAAAGCCACGGCUAACUACGUG
rnacentral:rRNA from 1 species